rnacentral:rRNA from 1 species
AUUGAACGCUGGCGGCAGGCUUAACACAUGCAAGUCGAACGAGUGGCGGACGGGUGAGUAAUGCUUGGGAAUCUAGCUUAUGGAGGGGGAUAACUACGGGAAACUGUAGCUAAUACCGCGUACCAUAGGAUGAGCCCAAGUGGGAUUAGGUAUCGGGUGAGGGAAAGGCUCACCAAGGCGACGAUCUCUAGCUGGUCUGAGAGGAUGACCGGCCACACGGGGACGGAGACACGGCCCAGACUCCUACGGGAGGUAGCAGUGGGGAAUAUUGCGCAAUGGGGGCAACCUGACGCAGCAAGGCCGCGUGAAUGAAGAAGGCUUUCGGGUUGUAAAGUUCUUUCGGUAGAGAGGCGUUAACUACAGAAAAAGCACCGGCUAACUCCGUGCCAGCAGCCGCGGUAAUUC